rnacentral:rRNA from 1 species
UUCUAAAAUUUAUAAUAGAAUUUUAUUUUUUAGUCAAAAAGCUAAAAUAUAUUUAAAAGACGAGAAGACCCUAUAAAUCUUUAUAUUUAGGUUAUUAUAAUUUUAUAGAUUUUUUUUGUUAUAAUAAUUGAUAAUAUUUUAUUGGGGUGAUAUUAAAAUUUAAUAAACUUUUAAUUGUUUAAAUCAUUAAUUUAUGAAUAAUUGAUCCGUUAUUAGCGAUUAAAAAAAUAAGUUACCUUAGGGAUAACAG